GGGAUAGAAGCGGUAUCCAUCCUGCGUAGCAGGAGGAUAAGAGCGGAUAGCCCGACCCCGC
rnacentral:misc_RNA from 1 species